CGCCCGCUGCCUCCACUAUCUCUCUCCGUCCCGUCCGCACGCUCGGGAGGGGCCCUGCCUGAGGAGCGGGCGCAGCACGCGCUUUAUCUGCAGGAUUGCGUUUGGGAGGCCGGGGAGCCCCUCCCUGUGAAAAGCGACAGCGCACAGGCCCCGGGCUACGCGGUGAAUGAACACUCCAGGCCUGGACGCGUCUGACGGGAGCCCCUGACUGUGUGCCGUCCUCUGCUCCUGUUUCCACCUCCCGUGAAUCGGGGAAGGGCUGAGAGCCUUCCUUCUGCCAUGGUCUGCACCACCCAAUAGCCUCCUCAGCCUUACGUGCAUAAUGACUUCUUAACAUCUUUUUUCCAACCUGUCUACCUCCUGUUAAUUAGCUCAUUGUGUUUUGAAAAAUGAGUACGUGAAUUGAAGGGGAGACGGAUGCCCGAAUAGACGUGUGUGACGGUGAUGGGUCUGUAGACCAGCAACACUCAGAGCAUUUGAAUGACUAUCCGGUUGGGCUCAGAGAGGGUCCGCAGGCUUGCCAGGGAGGGAGUUAGGGUUGCUGCCCAGCGGAUCUCAGAGGUGACAACGCUGGAGGCCAAGAGGUUCCUUGGAGGGACAAUCAAGCAGAGGCUGUCAGUGCUGCUGCUCCUGUGACAUGGGGGCACUGAGAAAGACAGGGAAGGAGGAAGAUGAUUCGACAGACAGUAUGUGGGCCAUCCUGACCCACGAUGAGUAUGGUGAGGUCAUUGGAAGGUAGACAUCUGCCAUUGAACAAAAUGUAAUUUGCAUUUUGUUGAUUUUGAAGUGAUAGUAGGCAUGUCUGCAGCAAACUACCCAAUCUGGUAGCCGGGCUCCCAGAUGCAAGGUGAGCAGAAGACAUGUGGCCCAGCUCUCAAGAGCCCUAAUAACUGGAACAAGGAAACUCGCCAGCGCUGCAAGAUUGUAACAGGACUGGAAACCAGCCUCUGGGGCCAGGUGGAACCCUGCGCUAGCACCUGAAGAGCAAGCGCAAACCACAGAGGCAGCAUUUGAGAUUCAGAAAGACCAAGCAACUUGCAGUCAGAAGGUGGUGAAGUCAAACAGAACCAGAAUUUUCUUGACCCUACCUGCUGCUGAACAUAAAGCUGUGACACCCACCGAGGCCUCGCCGAUGUCAAUAAUCGCUCCCCAGUAGAAAUAAAACAGCGGUAAAGAAGAAUGGGAGAGUGUGGAUGAGAGUGUGAGGGAAGCACUGGUGGGACACUGUAUUUACUGCAGACGCCCUAGAGAGCGGGACAGUUCCCGGCGGUCAGUCAGAUCAGUGCCCCAGAGGCCAUCCAGGACCAUGAGGGGGAAGGUUACCAUCCAGAAACCCUCUCAUUGUUUAAGGCAGAGGUUUUAAUGUAUUGUAGCUGCUAACUAUUGUACAGCUGCCUGGAGAUGCCCUCAAGUAAUUAAAACUUAAGUUGUUGAAAUCAAAAUUUAUUCUUUCAUCCCCGUUAUUGACCUUGGAAGAACUUUCGCUGGGGUGAAAAGAACCCGCUCCACGCUAGCCAUGCACAUGCGCAUUCGCGUCUGGAUGCAGCUCCACUCCAUCCACUCCAGUGACCGCACCACCAUCGACUGGUUUGCUUCAGCCAGAACCUCCAGAUCAUCUUUGACUGCACUUUAGCUUGACUUUAGUUUGGAUUCCUUUUAUUUCUUCUUGCCUCAUCACUAGAGCUAGGACUUCCAGUUGAAUAAGAGUGGUGAAAGAUGACAUCCCCAUCUUGUUUCUGAUCAUAAGGUAAAUGCAUUCAGUUUUGGGACAGUGAGCAUGAUAAUGGCUGUAGGUUUUUCAUAUAUGUUAUUAUGUUGAGGUACAGCCCCUCUAUUCCUACCUUACUGAGUACUUUUAUUAUA